ACCUGGCCCCAGCACCCAUCACCCCACCGUGCCCGGGGGUGCCCCUCAGCUCCCCCCCACCAGCCGCAGGAGCGCUUCCAGGAACAGGAGCAGCGUGGGAGCAGCCAGAUUCAACUUGCAGCUCCGCCUGGGAGACCUGAUGCAGCACGUGGCCAUCCAGAAGGCGACAAGCUCUGAGAGGGAAGCUCUAUCUUUUUAAUCACUUUUCAAUGGAAAGAACAUUUGGUAACUCAGGAACCAGGUAAAACAAAUGGGGUUUGGGGAGGGGGAGGCAAAAAAAACCCCAAAACAACCCAUGCUGCAAGUUGCUUGAGGUUCCUCUCUGUUUUCUUUGGUCAUGGAAAAAGCUUUGUGUGUGGAACCGCUUGCAACAUCUGGAUCCCUUUUCACUCUUCACGUCCCGACUGAUACCCGCUUCCCCUAUGUCCUUGUUAUCCCUCCUUCCAACAACCUGCUGAGUUCAGUAGAUCACGGGUUCUUUGAGACCUUGAGCCAAAGGCUUAAGAGCAAGAGUUGACCCAAAAGACACAGCCCAGCUGUCCUUGCUGCAGAGAGGUGGGAGAGCCUGUGUAAAGGCAUAGGCCAAACGUGGGGUCAAAGCCUUGGAGCCCGGUUUCUGUGGCUUUGUUCAAAGGAAGCACACGGGGCCGACCUCGAGGUGAUACUGCUUUCCUGGCUCGGAUGGAGGGAGGUUGUAGAUAUUGACAAUAGGCAGCUGCUGAGGGUCCUGUGUCCGAAAGGAAAAGAGAGUCCGAUGCCAGCGUCCAUCCUUGAUCUGUGCAGGGAGAAGGGACAGAGAAAGAGCUGUUUAAUUGGGGUACAAAUCAUAGAACCACAGAAUAGUUUGGGUUUGAAAGGACCUUAAGAUCAUCCAUUUCCAACCCUGCUGCUGGAAAGGAAUGUGUUUCUGAGGUAUAAGCUUGAAAAGCCCUGUGGGAGACAAGGGACUGCCUUUUGGGCUGAGCAGGUCUGGGGUGAGGUUCAGAGAGCAUUUUGGGGGAUCCUUUAUCCAGGUCAAGUUGGUAGAAACUGAGCUUGAAAUGGUACCCCCAAACACAAACCCCUUAUGCAGUGAACCCAAAAUGCUUUGAGUGGCAAUUCCCCCUUCUGCCAUUCAACUGCUGACACACAUGACAUGUAUAACCUUGGAACCGAAUGUUUUGCUUUCUAUUUGAAGCCUAUUUACUUAACAGGAGCUGCUCGAGCACCCUGGGCUGGAAAAUCUCAGUGGUGAACAGCUAAACUAGACUCUUCUCCCUUUCUUUUUGAUAGAAUAAGCAGCACAGGCAUAACUCAAGCCUCGUUGUGUGCAGAGUGGGUUCAAUGUGAUAUCUCCAUCUCUCCCCUCUCUUGCAGCAACGCACCUUGCAAUCAUCCGCUGCCACCUCUGGCCUGAGCUGCCCCCCUGCCUCAAACAUCUGCCCAUUCCAGGCCCGGAAGCGCACGGCGUUAUCCGAAGGUUUCUCCGAGGAGCCGUCCCGCCAGACAGAGGUGUUGAGGCAGUGGAUGGUGAUGUGCUGCACCACCUCCGAGCUCAGGAGCCGCAGGAAGUUCAUCUGCACCCUGCCGAUGUCGAAAUCCAGCUGUGAAGGGGACAGAGGUGUUAGGGGGUACCCCUAGAGCGGGGCUGGAGGGUUAGUGCAUGGUUUAACAGUAGAGGUGGUCCCUAUGCUCUGGUUUGCUCUGUGCAGGACUGGGUCUGGUCUAUGGGCAUUAGGGCCAGAUGCCAAGCCAAUGCGGACAGCUUUCAUGUGGACACAGCAGCUCCUUUAUUUUACAGAACAAACAGGUCCUUAAGGGAAAAGAAUGUAAACUUGGAAUUCCAGACACACUCCUGCAAAGAAGCGAAGCGGCAAGUUCAGUUCAUCUGCAGAUGAACCAAGGUAUUGUUAUUGCUAUUUUUAUUGCAGGAUCUUCCUCAAUAGAAACCCUGGAGUUAGAAACCUGUAUGUUUAAGCUUGACCUCGCUUUUUCAGGUGGCAGAAAAUAUUCAGGAGUGACCUGGACAUUAAAUAAUUCAACAAAGCAUUUGAGAGCAGCGUGUUUGCAAAAUUCCUGCUCUCUGUUUAGGUUAUGGGUUAAUUAAACAUUGCUGGAAAAG